GACGGAGGUGGCCGAGUGGUUAAGGCGAUGGACUGCUAAUCCAUUGGGAUCUUCCCGCGUGGGUUCGAAUCCCACCUUCGUCG
rnacentral:tRNA from 1 species